rnacentral:rRNA from 1 species
AGUGAACGCUGGCGGCAGGCCUAACACAUGCAAGUCGAACGGCAGCACAAGAGAGCUUGCUCUCUGGUUGGCGAGUGGCGGACGGGUGAGGAAUGCAUCGGAAUCUGCCCAUUUGUGGGGGAUAACCUCGGGAAACCGGGACUAAUACCGCAUACGACCUACGGGUGAAAGCAGGGGCUCUUCGGACCUUGCGCAGAUGGAUGAGCCGAUGCCGGAUUAGCUAGUUGGAGGGGUAAAGGCCCACCAAGGCGACGAUCCGUAGCUGGUCUGAGAGGAUGAUCGGCCACACUGGGACUGAGACACGGCCCAGACUCCUACGGGAGGCAGCAGUGGGGAAUAUUGGACAAUGGGCGCAAGCCUGAUCCAGCCAUGCCGCGUGUGUGAAGAAGGCCUUCGGGUUGUAAAGCACUGUUGUUGGGAAAGAAAAGCAGCCGGUUAAUACCCGGGUGUCAUGACGGUACCCAAAGAAUAAGCACCGGCUAACUUCGUG